CACUUUCUACACCUCGUCUCCGGGAAGAUUUGGCUGACCUGAGGAAAUUCUGUCCUCUUACAUUCACAAGGCGAAGAAUGUCCACCGUAAAAGAGAAGCCAUCAUAAAAGCUCUUUGUCCACACCUGAAUGAUGGAUUUCUUAUCAAGGAAUACAUGGACAUUCAUGGUGAAGACAUAUUGAGAGACCAGCACAGCACUGAAAUGGACAUGUCAUCAGAAGAGGGUGGAGCUCUUGGAGAAUAUGAAGAUGGUGACGCUGAUGGAAACAUUAUUGUAGGAAACAUCAAAUCAGUUGCACCAGACUGCAGUAAU